rnacentral:rRNA from 1 species
GAUGAACGCUGGCGGCGUGCCUAAUACAUGCAAGUCGAGCGAACGGGCGAGAAGCUUGCUUCUCUGAUGUUAGCGGCGGACGGGUGAGUAACACGUGGAUAACCUACCUAUAAGACUGGGAUAACUUCGGGAAACCGGAGCUAAUACCGGAUAAUAUUUUGAACCGCAUGGUUCAAAAGUGAAAGGCGGUCUUGCUGUCACUUAUAGAUGGAUCCGCGCUGCAUUAGCUAGUUGGUAAGGUAACGGCUUACCAAGGCAACGAUGCAUAGCCGACCUGAGAGGGUGAUCGGCCACACUGGAACUGAGACACGGUCCAGACUCCUACGGGAGGCAGCAGUAGGGAAUCUUCCGCAAUGGGCGAAAGCCUGACGGAGCAACGCCGCGUGAGUGAUGAAGGUCUUCGGAUCGUAAAACUCUGUUAUUAGGGAAGAACAUAUGUGUAAGUAACUGUGCACAUCUUGACGGUACCUAAUCAGAAAGCCACGGCUAACUACGUG